rnacentral:rRNA from 1 species
GACGAACCGUGCGAACGUUGUUCGGAAUCACUGGGCUUAAAGGGCGCGUAGGUGGUUGAUCAAGUCUGGGGUGAAAUCUUUCGGCUUAACCGGAAAAGUGCCUUGAUACUGAUCAGCUGGAGGGAGGUAGGGGCAGUUGGAACUUCCAGUGGAGCGGUGAAAUGCGUUGAUAUUGGAAGGAACGCCGGUGGCGAAAGCGAGCUGCUGGACCUCUUCUGACACUGAGGCGCGAAAAGCUAGGGGAGCAAACGGG